rnacentral:rRNA from 1 species
GUUUGAUCCUGGCUCAGAAUCAACGCUGGCGGCGCGCUUAACACAUGCAAGUCGCACGAGAAAGGGAGCAAUCCUAAGUAAAGUGGCGUACGGGUGAGUAACACGUGGAUCAUCUACCUUUUAGUGGGGAAUACCUCCUGGAAACGGGAGACAAUACCGCAUAAGCUCGAGAGAGGAAAGCAGCAAUGCGCUGAAAGAGGAGUCCGCGGCUGAUUAGCUAGUUGGCGGGGUAAUGGCCCACCAAGGCGAAGAUCGGUAGCCGGCCUGAGAGGGCACACGGCCACACUGGCACUGAAACACGGGCCAGACUCCUACGGGAGGCAGCAGUGGGGAAUCUUGCACAAUGGAGGAAACUCUGAUGCAGCGACGCCGCGUGAGCGAUGAAGCCCUUCGGGGUGUAAA